rnacentral:rRNA from 1 species
GACAAACGCUGGCGGCAUGCCUAACACAUGCAAGUCGAACGGACAGAACAGGGAAGCUUUUCGGAGUGGAACUGGAAAGUUAGUGGCGGAUGGGUGAGUAACGCGUGGACAACCUACCUUGUAAAGGGGAAUAACCUCGAGAAAUCGAAGCUAAUACCCCAUAAUAACCUUGCUUCGCAUGAAGUAAGGAGGAAAGGCGGCCUUAGCGCUGUCGAUACAAGAUGGGUCCGCGUCUGAUUAGCUAGUUGGUGAGGUAAAGGCUCACCAAGGCGACGAUCAGUAGCCGGCCUGAGAGGGUGAACGGCCACAUUGGGACUGAGACACGGCCCAAACUCCUACGGGAGGCAGCAGUGGGGAAUCUUCCGCAAUGGGCGAAAGCCUGACGGAGCAAUGCCGCGUGAGUGAAGAAGGCCUUCGGGUUGUAAAACUCUGUCCUUAUCGAAGAGAGAGUGUUGUAGUAACUGACAAUACUAGGACGGUAGAUGAGGAGGAAGCCCCGGCUAACUAGGUG